CCGCCCGUCACGCCAUGGAAGUGGCGAGCGCCCGAGGUCAGUGUCGGAACCCGCAAGGGGCCAAGCUGCCGAAGGCGAGCGUCAUGACUGGGGCG
rnacentral:rRNA from 1 species